rnacentral:rRNA from 1 species
GACGAACGCUGGCGGCGUGCCUAAUACAUGCAAGUCGAACGCAUUUUCUUUAACCGUAGCUUGCUACACCGACAGAAAAUGAGUUGCGAACGGGAGAGUAACACGUCAGUAACCUGACCAUCAGAGGGGGAUAACACUUGACAACAGGAGCUAAUACCGUAUAAUUUAAUUUACCGCACGGCAAAUGGAUGCAGGGCGCUUUUGCGUUACUGACGGAUGUAGACGCGGUGCCUUCGCCAGUUGGUGGGGUAACGGCCUAGCAAGGCUGCGAUGCAUAACCGACCUGGGAGGGUGAGCGGCCAAACUGGGACUGGGACACGGCCCAGACUCCUACGGGAGGCAACAGGAGGGAAUCUUCGGAAAUUGAGGCAAGGCUGACCGGGCAACGCCGCGGUAUUGAAGAAGGGUCUCGGGUCGGAAAACUCGGUUGUUAGGGGAGAACAAGGAUGGGAGUUGAAAGUUCAUCUCUUGACGGUAUCUAACCAGAAAGCCACGGCUAACUACGUG